GACGAACGCUGGCGGCGUGCUUAACACAUGCAAGUCGAACGGAAAGGCCUCUUUCGGGGGGUACUCGAGUGGCGAACGGGUGAGUAACACGUGAGUAACCUGCCCUUGACUUUGGGAUAACUUCAGGAAACUGGGGCUAAUACCGGAUAGGAGCUCCUGCUGCAUGGUGGGGGUUGGAAAGUUUCGGCGGUUGGGGAUGGACUCGCGGCUUAUCAGCUUGUUGGGGGGGUAGUGGCUUACCAAGGCUUUGACGGGUAGCCGGCCUGGGGGGGUGACCGGCCACCGUGGGACUUGGAAAAGGCCCAGACUCCUACGGGAGGGCGGAGGGGGGAAUAUUGCACAAUGGGUGGAAGGCGGAUGCAGGAAAGCCGUGGGCGGGAGGACGGCCUUUGGGUUGGAAACCGCCUUCGCUCAUGACGAAGCUUUGUGUGACGGUAGUGGGUAAAGAAGCGCCGGCUAACUACGUG
rnacentral:rRNA from 1 species